AUUGAACGCUGGCGGCAUGCCUUACACAUGCAAGUCGAACGGCAGCACGGGGGCAACCCUGGUGGCGAGUGGCGAACGGGUGAGUAACAUAUCGGAACAUACCCUAGAGUGGGGGAUAACGUAGCGAAAGUUACGCUAAUACCGCAUACGAUCUAAGGAUGAAAGUGGGGGAUCUUCGGACCUCAUGCUCAUGGAGUGGCCGAUAUCUGAUUAGCUAGUUGGUGAGGUAAAGGCUCACCAAGGCGACGAUCAGUAGCUGGUUUGAGAGAACGACCAGCCACACUGGAACUGAGACAC
rnacentral:rRNA from 1 species